CUUAAUUCUUCAUUUUUUUUUUCUAUUUUAUUUCCAAAUUCUGCAAUUUAUUUCUAUUGCAAUCUAUUUUAUUUUCUUAAAAUACCUAUAAUUUUGCCCCCACUUUAUUGGGCUUGGAAGUCAAAACCCAACGUUCCAAAACCAAAACCCAGUCCCUGAACCCUACUGGCUGCCGAGGCUUCCUAGGUAACAAACAAUCCUAUCAUCCUCACUCGCAGUUAUUCAAUCCACCAUGGAGGUUAAGGUUAUCCAAAAUUUCCAUGUUUUCAGAUCAAACUAUCGAAAUCUAGCAGUCCCCUUCCUUUUCAUUUCCAAGAAUCCCUUCUCAAUCAGAUUGUCGCGAGAGCUAAAGACCCCAUUUGUCUCUCUUCAAAGUGAGCCACUUCCUAAUGUUAUAACCGCCUCCAAAAUUUCAACGAACCAAGCCUCCUUCACAGUCGACUACCUUGUACACUCUUGUGGCUUGCCCCUAGAAGCUGCAAUCUCAGUCUCCCAGAAGAUGCAUUUACAGUCUCCGAAGAAACCGGACUCGGUUCUUGCCCUUUUGCGAAACCGCGGAUUCUCGAAAACCCAGAUCUCAAACCUCGUCAAGAAACGCCCUUUGCUCCUUUUAGCCCAUCCUGAGAAUACCCUUCUUCCCAAACUUGACUUCUUUCAUUCUAUAGGGGUUUCAAGCUCCGACCUUGCGAGAACCCUCUCUUCAGACCCGACUCUUCUGACUAGAAGCUUAGAGAACCAAAUUGUACCCUCUUAUAACUUCCUCAAAAGCAUCUUGUUGUCUGAUGAAAAGAUCGUUUCUGCAUUGAAGCGCACUACUUGGAUAUUUCUAGAGGAUCAUUCGAAGAAUCUUGUACCAAAUAUUGAGCUUUUGAGAGGAAUUUGUGUACCACAUUCUUGUAUAUCAUUGUUGCUAACCCAUUUCCCUGAAGCCGUGAUGCAGAGGCACGACGAGUUUGGUAAAAUUGUGAAGGAGGUUAAGGAAAUGGGUUUUGAUCCAAAUAAAUCAACGUUUGUGUUGGCUGUACAUGCCAUUUCUGGGAAGGGUAAUAAGUCAAUAUGGAAACGUUGUUUUGAGGUUUAUAAGAGGUGGGGUUGGUCUAAAGAUGAUAUUCUUGCAGCAUUUAGGAAGCACCCGCAUUGUAUGAUGCUAUCGGAGAAGAAAAUUAUGAAAGGAAUGGACUUUUUAGUUAACAAGAUGGGUUGGCCCUCGAAGGUCAUUGCUCAAUUACCAGUGGUAUUGUUUUUCAGCUUGGAGAAGAGAAUUAUCCCGAGGUGUAGGGUCAUUGGAGUUUUGAUGUCCAAGAGAUUGAUAAAGCAAGAUUUGAGCUUAGCUACCGUGCUGCUUCCAGUAGAGGAGUGCUUUCUAGAGCGGUUUGUGACCAAAUUUGAGGAGGAAGUACCUCAAUUGUUGAGUGUUUAUGAAGGGAAAGUGGAUCUGGAGGAAGCAUAACUUAGAUAAAAGAGAAAUUGAUGAGAUAAAACAGAUCUUGGGCUGUUGUUGUCUGCCAAUCAGAAUAAAUGUUUACUAGCUAUUUUUUAAUCUCUGCAAAGGCGAUUAUAGCUUGCAAUUAUAUGUUUGCGAGAGCACCAAUUGUUCAGUAUGGUUCUGUACUUUUGUUGUGAAUUACUUGACAUUGAAUUGACAUUCUAUUAUCUACCUGCUUCAUUUGUAUUUGCGGUUACUUUCUUCACAAAGUUAAAGAUUGCUGUCAAAUUUGGUUUGCU
rnacentral:misc_RNA from 1 species